AUGGAGCUAAUGGCUACAUCAUAUUUCAAGGAGGUUUUCACUAAGGACCCGACCCUGACACCGGAGUCGGUCCUGGGGAAUAUAUUGCCCAAAGUUUCUCAAGCGAUGAAUGAUAUGUUAUGUGCACCAUUUUCUGAGGAGGAGGUAUCCAAUGCGCUCUUCCAAAUAGGACCGUUGAAAGCACCAGGCACGGAUGGAUUCCCGGCUAGGUUCUAUCAGCGCAAUUGGGCGGUAAUGAAGGGUGAGAUCACGGUGGCGGUGUUGGAAUUCUUUAAAACAGGAAUCAUGCCAGAGGGCGUGAAUGAUACUGCUAUUGUACUAAUUCCUAAAGUGCCUUUUCCUAAGGAGCUCAAGGAGUUUCACCCAAUAAGUUUGUGCAAUGUGGUCUACAAAAUUGUAUCCAAAUGCUUGGUGAAUCGCCUCCAUCCUUUACUGGCGGACCUUAUUUCUGAGAACCAGAGUGCUUUUAUUCCUGGGCGGUUGAUUUCUGAUAAUUCUAUCAUAGCGUUUGAGUGUAUUAAUCAUAUUCAGUCCAUGAAGCAAAAUAGUCCGGUUGCAUGUGCAUACAAGCUUGAUCUAUCAAAGGCGUCUGACCGAGUGGAUUGGGAUUUUCUCGAGAAGGCUCUAGUUAAGUGGGUUUUUUCUGCUGUAUGGAUCAACUGGAUCAUGGCAUGCGUUAAAUCGGUAACAUAUUCGGUGAAGUUCAAUGGGGAGUUACUUGAGGUGUUCUCCCCUUCGAGGGGCCUGCGACAAGGUGAUCCAUUAUCUCCAUUCCUGUUCCUUUUUGUCGCUGAUGCUCUGUCUGCUCUUAUUUCCAAGUCUGUCGCUGACUUGAGGGGUGUGAGUAUCUGUCGGGGUGCACCGGUUAUAUCCCACUUGCUUUUUGUGGAUGACACAAUGUUGCUCUUCGAGGCGUCGGGCCAGCAAGCUAGCAUUGUCAAAGGUUUGUUGAACACAUAUACUUCAGCGACGGGUCAACUUAUUAACCCAGAGAAGUGUUCCAUCCUGUUUUCGGACAAUUGUAACGCGACGGUGGCGGAUGAGGUGAAGGGCCUAUUGGAAAUAUCACAGCAAGUGUUUGAGCCAAAAUACUUAGGCUUACCGGGACCUGAAGGUAGAAUACAUAAAGGGCAAUUCAAAACACUUAAGUAG
rnacentral:rRNA from 1 species